GGCCAAACCCUUUAACAGUGUCGCCCUCUCCUUUAAAGUUAAUCUGAAAUAUUUUGGGCCGAGGAGGAAAUGAAAGAAAUCACAUAAGCUGUGGGAUCUCUAGUGUAAUACAUACAGUCCUGGGAUUGAGGAGACCAGCUCAUCAGCCCAACCGCUACAGCAUCGUUAAAAGAACCUCACGUAGGAAAAGAUACCGGAAAAGAUAAAAGUUCUGGACGAUCACAAGAUAGUGCUGGUUUAGCCCGAGUUGUAAACAAGUGU